AUGAAGAAGGGGAAGAAUGCUGGGAAGAACAAGCAGGCUUACACCAAACUAGAGGAGAUAGCGGCCACAGAGUAUGCAGAUGUGAUCUGCUACAGAUGUGGGGAACCUGGACAUCACAAGAUUAAUUGUCCCAGCCCUCCUGUGUGUUUCAUUUGCAAGGUAGUGACACAUAAGGUGGAAGAUUGCCCAGUGAGAAGGAAACCAAGGAAUCCAGCUAAAUUUGUGGGUAGUGGAGCCCCUGGUCUGGGAUAUCACCAAAUUGAUGUGCCAGAUGUGAAUGACCAACACAUAGGAGCAAGGAGGAAUGUGGGACUGGUCUAUGUGGAGUCAGGACAAGUGGACAAACAAGAGCUAGGGCAUAAUUUCUCUCUGAUUUACAAGACAAACUGGCCUUGGCAGAUCAGGAAGCUGGAUGAGUGGACUUUCUUGGUAAAGUUUCCACCUCACAUACCAGUUGAAAGUGUUGCUAGAUACCCACUGUUUGGGCUGCCUGAAAUGGAUGGGGUCACAGUAAAUGUAGAGGUCUGGAAAGGAACCUUGGAGCACUACAGUGAACUCCAAAAAGUGUGGCUUAAAUUGGAGGGGAUUGCUCCAGCUUGGGCUAAGUGGUCUGUGCUAGAACAAUUUGCAUCAGUUUUUGGAACUCUGAUUGAUGUAGACUGGCUGGGUAACUUCAAGUCUUUCUUUGAAACUGUCAGAAUCAAGAUCAGGUGCAAAGAUCACACAAAAAUCCCCCCUGAUAGGCUAUUUGGAAUUGGAGAUCAUCUAUUCAAGGUCAAAAUUACUGUAGAGCCUCCUGUGGAAGAAGCAGACAUGGAGGAACCUGCUUAUGAGGACAUUGAAGACAGCAGCAAUGAAGCUGGCCAGGACAAGGAAAAAAGAGAUGCAGGAAGGAGCACCAAAGAAAAGGACUCUUCUAGAACAGGGUCCACACACUCCCUUCAAGGCAGCAAAUCAGCUAGUGGCAAUUCAAAUCAAAAUACCAAGCAAAAAGUGAUCAGUUACCUACAGCAGCUACAGGAACCCAUCACCAUGGGGCAGAGCUACAGUCUCCUCCAAGAAAUGGAAUUGAUGGAUGAUGAGGAUGACCUGGAAAAGAAUAUCUCUUUGGAGGACAGCAUAACUAAAGAAGUGGAAAUGAAUUUCAGCCCACAGCUUGAUACAAUCUUGGGGAGGAAGGAUCAAAACAACCCAAAACCACACAGCAAAUGGGGGCCAGUUCAAGCUCAAAGGAAAAGCAGUAGAGUUAAUAUAGGGGAUAGAUCAAUGAUGGAAAUUGCUAUGAACAACAAAAAAGUGCAGAAUUUAGAGAUGGGGAAGAAAAACAACAAAGAUCUGGAGGAAAGUGUUGGGAUCGUUGAGGAGAUGGUCGAUCUUGCUCAAAGAGGAAAUGGAGCCUCUUUGGGACAAGAUAUCACACCAAAUUUCCUUGAUCUUGGAAUCACCGUUCCAAAUUCUGGUGGGGUGAUUCCACUGGGAACAUCGUCUGCUGGAGAAGUUGAUCAAUCCCUUCUCAAGCUGAAGCUGGACGAUUACAAGAUAUCUGGCGAAAAGAACCCAUACUCAUCACCUCCAAGGAGUCCUCCUGGUGGCAUCAAGCACUGCCUGCUUAGCCCAGUCACCCCUCUGGACCUGCUGGGCUCUCCGACCCAGCCAUGGAAGAAGCUCAGAGGAGUGGCGGCAGAGCUGGGGAUCGACAAGACUGGUGGCCAUGGGGGGGACAUGUCGAGCAUCAUGCUUGCAUCUUAG
rnacentral:rRNA from 1 species